UCUUAUUCGUUUUGUUGUUUUUGUUUAAGGGUUCUUCGUGUUCUUCAUUAAAUAAAGAAGAAUGUAUUCUAACCACGCAUUCUACGUAUUCUAACCACGAAUGUAUUCUAACCUUUGGUCUACUCCAUACGACGAUCGUGACAGUUACUCAGGCCCAGAAGCCAGGAUAUGCAUAUAAUUGGUAGCAUUGGAUAGAAAACUGUUAAAGUGUCUUAGACUAUAACAGAAAUGAUAUGUCAGGCGAAAAUCCGAAGCAAAUCCGACCAGAAUAUUAUUUAUUUUUUUAGCUCCCAUGCUCUUGUUAUGCAAACCUAUUGUUUCUAUGUAACUCUGUCACCCAGACUGCAAUUCCUAUGAUUUCCACUAGACGUCAACAGUCUUUAUUCAAGGUUUCAGGCUUCUUUUUUGAAAAACAAACAAGUAUUUUGAGUUUUCGUUAGGGGAUCACCUGAAGCAAAUCAGUCUUUCGGCGUGCGAGGGAGAGGGUAGAUUUUCCUUUCCUGCGGGAAGAAAAGUUAUAUUUAUUGUAAAUAAGCUGAAUCUCAUUUGAGUGGCUGUCUCAUCUUAUCAUUCCUAUGUCCUUCUAGAAAAGAGAAUCAAGCAGACCAUUGUAAGGAUGUCUCUGAAAUCUAACUCAGGAGCUGACCUCAAUGACCCAGUGGUAAAGGAACAGAUGUUGGAGCAGAUCAGAAAGGAGUUGGCUAAGAACGGGAACUUCAUCCAAGGCUUAAGCUGGAGAGAACUGCCCAAUGGGGAUGUUUUUCGCAAAACAGUUGAACUUGGAAGCCCUGAAGAAGGUCAGUGUGGGUCUGGAUGAAGAGGACCAGCCAUGAUGAUGCAACAGGAGAGGGAUGGAAGGUCCAAGAAAACCACAUUAUUAUAUACCUUAAAACACAUAAUACAAUAUUAUUUUAGUUAAUGUUAUUCAAGUUAUGAAAUAUAUGAAGUACAUUUAUAUUAGGAUAGAUUUAGACUUUACAAUGUUUUACUAAUAUAACAUCGAAUUAUAAUCUAAGAUUUUUGUUGGUGUAUGAAUGUAUAAUUAAUUCUUCAUGAGGAAAAUAAUGUUACACACUCACUUAUGGAUGUAACUGUCGACAUUCUUAAAUAAAAUAUGUUUGA